rnacentral:sRNA from 1 species
AUCGAGCUGGGGAGAACUAUAUCAAUCAUACAGUCGUACUGUUUGGAACAGGUCAGAACAGUAUAGAACAUCCAUCUGGCCUUCAUGCAUAUCCAUUUGUUCUUCAUUUGUCACCGACAUUGCCUUCAUCCUAUGAGGGACGCAGAGGUUACGUCCGAUACUUUUGCAAGGCAACGAUCAACCGUCCCUGGAAAUUUGAUGAGCACACAAAAAGAGCUUUUACUGUUAUUCACCAUUUAGAUCUGAAUGCUGAGCCUACAGCUUCAAUGCCUGUCUGGGGAGAACAAGAAGAAGUU